GAUGAACGCUGGCGGCGUGCCUAACACAUGCAAGUCGAACGAAGCUUGACGGAUGAUUUCUUCGGAAUGAAACCAGAUAUGACUUAGUGGCGGACGGGUGAGUAACACGUGAGCAACCUGCCUUUCAGAGGGGGAUAACGGCUGGAAACGGUCGCUAAUACCGCAUGAUGUGUUCGGAUGGCAUCAUCUGAACAUCAAAGAUUUAUCGCUGAAAGAUGGGCUCGCGUCUGGUUAGAUAGUUGGUGGGGUAACGGCCUACCAAGUCUACGAUCAGUAGCCGGACUGAGAGGUUGAACGGCCACAUUGGGACUGAGAUACGGCCCAGACUCCUACGGGAGGCGGCAGUGGGGAAUAUUGCACAAUGGGGGAAACCCUGAUGCAGCAACGCCGCGUGAAGGAUGACGGUUUUCGGAUUGUAAACUUCUUUUCUUAGUGACGAAGACAGUGACGGUAGCUAAGGAAUAAGCAUCGGCUAACUACGUG
rnacentral:rRNA from 1 species